CUGUUGUUAAAGAAGAACAUAUCUGAGAGUAACUGUUCAGGUAUUGACGGUAUUUAACCAGAAAGCCACGGCUAACUACGUGCCAGCAGCCGCGGUAAUACGUAGGUGGCAAGCGUUGUCCGGAUUUAUUGGGCGUAAAGCGAGCGCAGGCGGUUUUUUAAGUCUGAUGUGAAAGCCUUCGGCUCAACCGAAGAAGUGCAUCGGAAACUGGGAAACUUGAGUGCAGAAGAGGACAGUGGAACUCCAUGUGUAGCGGUGAAAUGCGUAGAUAUAUGGAAGAACACCAGUGGCGAAGGCGGCUGUCUGGUCUGUAACUGACGCUGAGGCUCGAAAGUAUGGGUAGCAAACAGGAUUAGAUACCCUGGUAGUCCAUACCGUAAACGAUGAAUGCUAAGUGUUGGAGGGUUUCCGCCCUUCAGUGCUGCAGCUAACGCAUUAAGCAUUCCGCCUGGGGAGUACGGCCGCAAGGCUGAAACUCAAAGGAAUUGACGGGGGCCCGCACAAGCGGUGGAGCAUGUGGUUUAAUUCGAAGCUACGCGAAGAACCUUACCAGGUCUUGACAUACUAUGCAAAUCUAAGAGAUUAGACGUUCCCUUCGGGGACAUGGAUACAGGUGGUGCAUGGUUGUCGUCAGCUCGUGUCGUGAGAUGUUGGGUUAAGUCCCGCAACGAGCGCAACCCUUAUUAUCAGUUGCCAGCAUUAAGUUGGGCACUCUGGUGAGACUGCCGGUGACAAACCGGAGGAAGGUGGGGAUGACGUCAAAUCAUCAUGCCCCUUAUGACCUGGGCUACACACGUGCUACAAUGGAUGGUACAACGAGUUGCGAACUCGCGAGAGUAAGCUAAUCUCUUAAAGCCAUUCUCAGUUCGGAUUGUAGGCUGCAACUCGCCUACAUGAAGUCGGAAUCGCUAGUAAUCGCGGAUCAGCAUGCCGCGGUGAAUACGUUCCCGGGCCUUGUACACACCGCCCGUCACACCAUGAGAGUUUGUAACACCCAAAGUCGG
rnacentral:rRNA from 2 species